UACAUGGAAACACAGCUGAUUUUUCCAUGUUGAUUUUGUAUUCUACAACUUUACUGAAUUCACUUAUGAGUUAUAACAGUUUUCAAGUGGAAUUGUCGGGUUUUCUAUGUAUAAAAUGAUGUCAUCUUUGAACAGAGACAAUUUAACUUCUUCCUUUCCAAUUUAGGUGGUUUUAUUUCUUUUUCUUGCCUGAUUGCUCUGGCUAGGACUUCCACUACUCUACUGAAUAGAAAUGCCCAUUGGUCACCAAUAUCAACCAUUCAUUGAAAAUCUGCCCUCACAGUGAAAACAAGAUGUUCUAACUACAAUAACAGAAUAUGAGGAAACUGAAGCCCAGAAAGGGGAAGUGACUUGCUCAAAGUUAUCCAGCUCGUAAGUGGAAGAACUAAGAAAACCUGAUCU